ACAGAGAGGACAUACUUGAGCCCGUCAAAUUAAGUGCCAGCCGACGCGGUUAGACUUAAGGGCUGGUCUUUAGAAGUAAAGGCGUAAAGGAUGUGUAGGCUAAGAAACAAUCUAAGAAGGUAAAUGGAAUAUUUCUGGAGCGGUAGAAUGUGAGGAUAGAGAAUAGAACUUCUAAGGUUAACACUAUUUACCACAAGAUCGGCUGAAACAUGAAAGUGUGGGGAGCAAGCAGGAUUAGAGACCCUGGUAGUCCACACUGUGAACUUUGAAGAGGAUGCAAAUCUUCCGCCUGAGUAGUACGAUCGCAAGAUUAAAAUUCAAAAACUUUGGCUGUUCACUAUUUCGAUUAGAGGAGCGUGUAGUUUAAUUCGAUGGUCCGCGUGACACCUCACCCCAGCUUGACCGGUAUUGCAUGGCCGUCGUAAGUUCGUGUGUGAAGGGGCCCAACCCGGGCGCCUGCCCGGAGGAAGUCAGGUCUUAUGAUCCGAAUGCUGGGGGAUUUAUGCGCUACAUUUUCUUAUAUAAUGGGAGACCUAAAAGGUGAAUCUCUAAAGUAAGAGUUCGGAAGGUUGCUGUAAGACGACUGGAAGUUGGAUUUAAUAGUAAUCGGAAAGUAGAGCGUUCCGGUGA
rnacentral:rRNA from 1 species